rnacentral:rRNA from 1 species
UACCAGCACCCCGAGUGGUCGGGACGUUUAUUGGGCCUAAAGCAUCCGUAGCCGGUUCUACAAGUCUUCCGUUAAAUCCACCUGCUUAACAGAUGGGCUGCGGAAGAUACUAUGGAGCUAGGAGGCGGGAGAGGCAAGCGGUACUCGAUGGGUAGGGGUAAAAUCCGUUGAUCCAUUGAAGACCACCAGUGGCGAAGGCGGCUUGCCAGAACGCGCUCGACGGUGAGGGAUGAAAGCUGGGGGAGCAAACCGGAUUAGAAUCGGACC